UACGUAGGCAGCAAGCGUUGUUCGGAGUUACUGGGCGUAAAGGGUGUGUAGGCGGUUCCCUAAGUUUGGUGUGAAAUCUCCCGGCUCAACUGGGAGGGUGCGCCGAAAACUGGGGAGCUAGAGUACUGGAUGGGAGAGUGGAAUUCCUGGUGUAGCGGUGAAAUGCGUAGAUAUCAGGAGGAACACCUGUGGUGUAGACGGCUCUCUGGACAGUAACUGACGCUGAGACACGAAAGCGUGGGUAGCAAACAGG
rnacentral:rRNA from 1 species